AUGGACCAUUCCAUCCCUUAUUCCCGUGGCUAUGCAUCGGAUUCGGAUGACGAAGGUCCCCAUGAACAAGUUGAUGAGAAGGGGUUCACGGUGAAGGAGGUCGAAGCUUUCGAGAAGGUAUUCGGUCGGGAUCAUCGGACUACAUUGUUCAAGGAUGUUAGUCUCGCGGAUGAAGUCGUGGUAGAUGGUGGCCAAGGUAUAUCUCUUGGGGUUAGGCCAAGAUCUCACCGUGAUUUGGAUGACGGCAAGAGCGGGAUUGCUAAAGGGUCUAAGUUCGAAACCUUCUUGGAAUUGAAGAUGUGGCUCGACAACUACUCGGUUACGCAUUAUCGUCCACACAAGGUGGUGAACUCGGACGUCAAUGUGUGCUACACGGUUGCAUGUGCAUGUGAAGAUGAAAUAUGUCCGUGGAUUGUGCGUGCAAGACCAUGGAAAUGA
rnacentral:rRNA from 1 species